rnacentral:rRNA from 1 species
AAGGCUUUCGGGUUGUAAACCCCUUUCAGUUGGGACGAAGCUCCGUCGGUUAAUAGCCGGCUGGAGUGACGGUACCUUCACAAGAAGCACCGGCUAACUACGUGC